UACAGAGGGGGCAAGCGUUGUUCGGAAUUACUGGGCGUAAAGGGCGCGUAGGCGGCCUUCUAAGUCGAACGUGAAAUCCCCGGGCUCAACCCGGGAACUGCGUCCGAUACUGGCAGGCUUGAAUCCGGGAGAGGGAUGUGGAAUUCCAGGUGUAGCGGUGAAAUGCGUAGAUAUCUGGAGGAACACCGGUGGCGAAGGCGGCAUCCUGGACCGGUAUUGACGCUGAGGCGCGAAAGCCAGGGGAGCAAACGGGG
rnacentral:rRNA from 1 species